CACGUAAAUGCCCUUUUUGGUUUUACCCUCUUGGGAGGUUGAGAAGCUCACUGGAGUGGGACGUUGCUUGCAAAAUUUAACCAGGCCCACCCUCUGGUUAACCUCUUAACCCUAACAUUGACCAAAGUGCGAAGACCUGAUCAAAAAAAAAAAAAUUUGAGGUCUCUACAGAUUUCUAUGAAAAAUCGUGAAUUUGUUAUGAUACGCACUAUGGGCAUGACUGCGUAUCAUAAAAAAAUUUUUUUUUGAGGUCUCCUUAUUCCUCUUUCAGUUACACAAAAUUUCUAUCAAAGAAUUUCAGUUUCUAAUCUGUGGUUUGCCUUUGAGAUCAUCCGUUACCUAAGCGCCUUCCUCUCCGCUGAAGCCGAAGAGUUCAUCUGUUAAUCUUCUCGCCGUCCCACGAACUUCCACUCACUCAACAGCCAUGACUGCAUUAUCUCAUCCUCAAAUCUCCUUAUCUCCUCAUUUCCUAACCCUAAUAAUUCGAUCCGUACUCACAAAAUACCAGCUCCCUCCCCAAAAUCGAAGAAAGAAGCCGACUUUUCUUCUCGAACUGUUCACUGCUCGGCGGCGAACAAGUCCUCGCCGUCCGCUGAGUCAACUUGCAGGAGGCCGGGUCGUAUUGAUCUGUGAAGCUGGAGGCUCUGCUCAUGUUGUGUAUUUGAUAAUAUAGACGGAUUCCAUUGGUUUAUGUUACUCGGGAGGACAGGUACGUAAAUAGGCCAUUUAGUGAGGUGGAAAUUAAUGCUGAACACGAACGACCACCACUACCAGGAAUCUUUCACAAGUGGAUGGAUGAUCAUCUUAAUUUCAAGUAAUUAAUUGGGUCUUCUCCUUGACCUUGAGCAAUUAGAUGGACGGGAACCGAAUUCCCUUAAAUCUCAUGGUUUAGAUUGUCAUUUUGAUACGCCUACUUGAUCCCUUAAAUCUCACAAAAUACCAGCUCCCUCCCCAAAAUCGAAGAAAGAAGCCGACUUUUCUUCUCGAACUUUUCACUGCUCGGCGGCAAACAAGUCCUCGCCGUCCGCUGAGAUUCAAGCGACAAGCGUUUAAAUAUACGAACAACACCUAUAUUGCGACUAUAAAAAGAAGCGUUCGUCUUCUUUUCCCGCGCAAAAUCGCUUGAAUCCGGUUAAGGUCACCACUAAUCUCACCAGAGGCCAGGUCAAUGGCACAUCUAUGUUUAUGUCCCUUGAGGAUGGGUCUUAUUGCAAAAGCGCACGGAUGCCUGUUUGAACUUUAUACAAGUGGUAGGCGGAAAAAGCUGCUUGCGCAAGGUGUAUCUGAAAAUAGGUAUCAUGAAAAAACUCCUGAGCAGGUGGCGUUUGGGAUGGCUGUGGAUGAUGAUUGCAAGCUGAAAUUCUUGGAGUUGAAGGCGAAGAAAACUCAUCGUUUCAUAGUUUUUAAGAUAGAUGAGAAGCUGAAACAGGUUGUUGUGGAGAAACUUGGUUAACCCACUAUGAGCUACGAGGAUUUCACUGCGAGCCUUCGUGAGAAGGAAUGUCGAUAUGCUAUUUAUGACUUUGAUUUUGUCACCGAGGAGAACUGCCAGAAGAGCAAUAUAUUCUUCAUUGCUAGGUCUCCAUACAUUGCGAGGCAACUUUACUAGAUACCACAUAGACUUGUGGUUUCAGGUUAUAUUACAUACAAACUUUCCUGUUCUUCACCAUGUGUUGUUGGGUUGUCGCUUGUGAUUUGUUAUUUUGUAAAAUUUAUUUGAUGAAUCAUGAAUGUAUGUCUACUUGUAGCCUGACAUCUACAAACCCAUGACAUGUAACGUUUUAUGUUUAGCAUGUAGGGAAGCACUUUCUUUAUAUAUUUUUGUAGUGAUUGCUUGAUC